GACGAACGCUGGCGGCGUGCUUAACACAUGCAAGUCGAACGGAAAGGCCCUGCUUUUGUGGGGUGCUCGAGUGGCGAACGGGUGAGUAACACGUGAGUAACCUGCCCUUGACUUUGGGAUAACUUCAGGAAACUGGGGCUAAUACCGGAUAGGAGCUCCUGCUGCAUGGUGGGGGUUGGAAAGUUUCGGCGGUUGGGGAUGGACUCGCGGCUUAUCAGCUUGUUGGUGGGGUAGUGGCUUACCAAGGCUUUGACGGGUAGCCGGCCUGAGAGGGUGACCGGCCACAUUGGGACUGGGAUACGGCCCAGACUCCUACGGGGGGCAGCAGGGGGGAAUAUUGCAAAAGGGGCGGAAGCCUGAUGCAGCAACCCCGGGUGGGGGAUGACGGCCUUCGGGUUGUAAACCGCUUUCGCCUGUGACGAAGCGUGAGUGACGGUAAUGGGUAAAGAAGCACCGGCUAACUACGU
rnacentral:rRNA from 1 species